AUAAGCGGCAGGGUCGUGUGUUUGCGCGUAAAAUAUAGUCUUCAUUACGCGUUAACAACGUAAAGUCAAUUAUGUAGACCGUGUAAACUAUGUAUGAAAUGGAAUUUAUGUAAACUUAUGGAUCAUUGAAGAUUUGAACCUGCUUAACUGCGCUCUGUAUUAUCUAAUUUACAAAGGUUUACACGUUUGUCUAGUUUAGAUGAACAAGGUUUGUGUAAACAUCACGUAGUGUUUACGUAAAAAAAAACCCACGUAAACGUAAUUUUGAAAUAUACAGCACAACCCUGAUAAGCGGCAAACUUGACCGCACCUGAACUUCUCUAAAACUGACCAAGUUGACUUCAGAGUCGAAUCUAGGCCAUAAAAUCAAGAAGAAGAAAAGGAAGAUAUCUAAUCUUGUGUUCGCAAGGACACAUCCGUUUCUUGGCAAGUCCGAAAGUUGAAGAAUUACGGUAGUUUUGCAGACAAAAGUUAUUUUAAAUCAAAUCAAGGUGUCUCUUGUUGAUUUAUGGUUGCUGUAAACGAUACUACAAAUCAAAUUUCACUAGCACGUCAAGUUUUCGAAAUAAUUGAAAUUUAAAAAUAACUGUGGUUCAAAUAAAGGCUUUUUUGCUACGUUUAAAACUUUUUUGUAAAGAAAAGUUAAUGCUAUCUUGAAAUUCUGAUCAGAAGUGAAUGUACAUUGUUCCUUAUAAAAUCCUUAUAAAAUGCAUAUUUUAUUUCGAUAUUUUUUAGCCGUGCUGCGAAGAAUUCAAAUAUAGAGUUUUACUAAGAUAAGCCAGUUAUCAACUAUGAUUAAUCUAAUCGGCCGAGUAAAUUUAUGAGUUGCCAACUGCAAAACUUAAAAACUGAUCAACCUUAAUCCAAUUUUUUAAUUUUAAUUUACAAAAUAAUUAUUAAAUAUAAGAAUUAUACAUUAUAGAAAUAAAUUCUAAUUUGCAAUAAAUAGAACAGGGAAAACAAAAUAAUAGGAAUUUUCAAACAAAAUAACAGGAAUUUUCAAUUUUACAAUCAGUUAUUGUUAAAUUUAAUUGAUCGAUCAGGUUAAUCAGAAUGAUGAAACCAGUCUAUAGCUAACUUUUGAUCAAAAUUUCAACAUAAUGUUAACCUUUUUUAUAAAAAAUUUUAAAUAUUGUAAAACCUGUUUUUACAAUAAACUUCAAUUAUGUCGAAAAUCUUACGUACUAUAAAUUUUUAGGGCAUUGUUUUCAACAUCCAAAAAUUUGUAAGAAACCUUAUCCAAUUCAAAAUAAUUAAAAGGAUUUUUCUGUAAAUUAUAAGUGUUGUCAAAGCUAAGUGAUCUAUAUAAUGAAAUCAAUUUCAAAGAAGUAGAUUAAUAAAAAACCAGUUCG